AGUGAACGCUGGCGGUAGGCCUAACACAUGCAAGUCGAACGGCAGCACAGUAAGAGCUUGCUCUUACGGGUGGCGAGUGGCGGACGGGUGAGGAAUACAUCGGAAUCUACUUUUUCGUGGGGGAUAACGUAGGGAAACUUACGCUAAUACCGCAUACGACCUACGGGUGAAAGCAGGGGAUCUUCGGACCUUGCGCGAUUGAAUGAGCCGAUGUCGGAUUAGCUAGUUGGCGGGGUAAAGGCCCACCAAGGCGACGAUCCGUAGCUGGUCUGAGAGGAUGAUCAGCCACACUGGAACUGAGACACGGUCCAGACUCCUACGGGAGGCAGCAGUGGGGAAUAUUGGACAAUGGGCGUAAGCCUGAUCCAGCCAUACCGCGUGGGUGAAGAAGGCCUUCGGGUUGUAAAGCCCUUUUGUUGGGAAAGAAAAGCAGCAGGUUAAUACCCCGCUGUCCUGACGGUACCCAAAGAAUAAGCACCGGCUAACUUCGUG
rnacentral:rRNA from 1 species